AACGAACGCUGGCGGCAUGCCUAACACAUGCAAGUCGAACGGGAUCCUGGUUUCGGCCAGGUGAGAGUGGCGGACGGGUGAGUAACGCGUGGGAACCUGCCCAGUGGUGGGGGAUAACUGCGGGAAACUGCAGCUAAUACCGCAUGAGCCCGCAAGGGGAAAGAUUGAUCGCCAUUGGAGGGGCCCGCGUUCGAUUAGGUAGUUGGUGAGGUAACGGCUCACCAAGCCUACGAUCGAUAGCUGGUCUGAGAGGAUGAUCAGCCACACUGGGGCUGAGAUACGGCCCAGACUCCUACGGGAGGCAGCAGUGGGGAAUAUUGGACAAUGGGGGCGAACCCUGAUCCAGCAAUGCCGCGUGAGUGAU
rnacentral:rRNA from 1 species